GGGCGAUUAGCUCAGUUGGUUAGAGCGCAACGCUUACACCGUUGAUGUCGAGGGUUCGAGUCCCCCAUCGCCCACCA
rnacentral:tRNA from 1 species